ensembl:antisense
GACUAAUCAAUGAAGAAGUGAAAUUAGCUAUAACCGACGACGAAAGAGGUGAAGCAAGUCUGUGAGCGUUUAACGAGUAGAGAUUUAUAGCUUUACCGCUACCAGGGGUGCCAGAUUCAUCUUUAUCCUUGUCAUCAUCAGAUUCCUGACAAAUGGAAAAAACAUCCAGAUUUUAAAAAGUGCUUCCAGUGCACAUCGGUCUGACCUGCAGAACUUCAGGGCCUGGUUGCUCCAGCGGUGCCGCGCUCACAGGCUGCUGCUCAAUAUAGUUCCCCCACUCCUCUGAUGGAGCGUUCCAGUCACACGAUGGGUCUGCAGAUGAGCUUUCUGAUGAACACAACAGCAACUAUUAGGUGGUUUGGAGCUGCUCCGUGGCACCGGAAGCUGCUGAUGGUACCGGGCUGCCGGACUCGUCAUCUGGAGCCUUGUCCUUCCGCCGCUGUUGACGCUUCUCUCGGUUACUGACCUUGGUCUCCCAGGUACCUGCCAGAUUUACCAUCACACUCAUGUUCCCGACCGCUGUAAAAUAAUAAAUGCUGAGUCACAAUUUAUUUAGCACACAC